rnacentral:rRNA from 1 species
UACAGAGGGGGCAAGCGUUGUUCGGAAUUACUGGGCGUAAAGGGCGCGUAGGCGGCCUGCUAAGUCGAACGUGAAAUCCCCGAGCUCAACUCGGGAACUGCGUCCGAUACUGGCAGGCUUGAAUCCGGGAGAGGGAUGCGGAAUUCCAGGUGUAGCGGUGAAAUGCGUAGAUAUCAGGAGGAACACCAAUGGCGAAGGCAGCACUCUGGGACGAUACUGACGCUGAGACGCGAAAGCGUGGGGAGCAAACAGG